UACGGAGGGUGCGAGCGUUGUUCGGAAUCAUUGGGCGUAAAGGGCGCGUAGGCGGCCUUCUAAGUCGAACGUGAAAUCCCCGGGCUCAACCCGGGAACUGCGUCCGAUACUGGAAGGCUUGAAUCCGGGAGAGGGAUGCGGAAUUCCAGGUGUAGCGGUGAAAUGCGCAGAUAUCAGGAGGAACACCGGUGGCGAAGGCGGGUCUCUGGGCCGAAACUGACGCUGAGGAGCGAAAGCGUGGGGAGCAAACAGG
rnacentral:rRNA from 1 species